rnacentral:rRNA from 1 species
CCUACGGGAGGCAGCAGUGGGGAAUAUUGCACAAUGGGGGAAACCCUGAUGCAGCGACGCCGCGUGAGUGAAGAAGUAAUUCGUUAUGUAAAGCUCUAUCAGCAGGGAAGAAAGUGACGGUACCUGAGUCAGAAGCCCCGGCUAACUACGUGCCAGCAGCCGCGGUAAUACGAAGGGUGCGAGCGUGGUUCGGAAUUACUGGGCGGAAAGGGAGUGUAGGCGGAUAUGUAAGAUAGCGGUGAAAUGCCGGGGCGCAACCCCGGAACUGCCAUUAGGACUAUGUAUCGAGAGUAAUGGAGAGGAUAGCGGAAUACCCAGUGGAGAGGUGAAAUUCGUAGAUAUUGGGUAGAACACCGGUGGCGAAGGCGGCUAUCUGGCCAUUUACUGACGCUGAGGCUCGAAAGCAUGGGGAUCAAACAGGAUUAGAUACCCCAGUAGUC